rnacentral:lncRNA from 1 species
AUGAACGAUUCCUUGAGGACCGAUGUAGCAAUAACUGCCUGCCGUCAUUUGACCGUACCUAUGAGGAGAAGCAGAAGUUACUCCACAGCCGCGUCACAUGACGAAUCCAAGCUGUUCAGAAACUCACAUCGACACACCGAGAGCAAACAUCUUCUCAUACUGAUCUCUGGAGGAGUAGUUUGGGAUAACCUGAUAGGAAAAAACAAAGCUGUGAGUGUGUCAAGUAUUGUUAUGCUGCUUUACUGUAACACCGUACUGCUUUACUGUAACACCGUGCUGCUUUACUGUAACACCGUUCUGCUUUACUGUAACACCGUACUGCUUUACUGUAACACCGUUCUGCUUUACUGUAACACCGUACUGCUUUACUGUAACACCGUUCUGCUUUACUGUAACACCGUGCUGCUUUACUGUAACACCGUGCUGCUUUACUGUAACACCAUACUGCUUUACUGUAACACCGUGCUGCUUUACUGUAACACCGUUCUGCUUUACUGUAACACCGUACGGCUUUACUGUAACACCGUGCUGCUUUACUGUAACACCGUGCUGCUUUACUGUAACACCGUGCUGCUUUACUGUAACACCGUUCUGCUUUACUGUAACACCGUACGGCUUUACUGUAACACCGUGCUGCUUUACUGUAACACCGUGCUGCUUUACUGUAACACCGUACUGCUUUACUGUAACACCGUGCUGCUUUACUGUAACACCGUGCUGCUUUACUGUAACACCGUACUGCUUUACUGUAACACCGUACUGCUUUACUGUAACACCAUGCUGCUUUACUGUAACACCGUGCUGCUUUACUGUAACACCGUACGGCUUUACUGUAACACCGUUCUGCUUUACUGUAACACCGUGCUGCUUUACUGUAACACCGUGCUGCUUUACUGUAACACCGUACGGCUUUACUGUAACACCGUUCUGCUUUACUGUAACACCGUGCUGCUUUACUGUAACACCGUGCUGCUUUACUGUAACACCGUACUGCUUUACUGUAACACCGUGCUGCUUUACUGUAACACCGUGCUGCUUUACUGUAACACCGUACUGCUUUACUGUAACACCGUGCUGCUUUACUGUAACACCGUACUGCUUUACUGUAACACCGUGCUGCUUUACUGUAACACCGUACUGCUUUACUGUAACACCGUGCUGCUUUACUGUAACACCGUGCUGCUUUACUGUAACACCGUACUGCUUUACUGUAACACCGUGCUGCUUUACUGUAACACCGUGCUGCUUUACUGUAACACCGUACUGCUUUACUGUAACACCGUGCUGCUUUACUGUAACACCGUACUGCUUUACUGUAACACCGUGCUGCUUUACUGUAACACCGUGCUGCUUUACUGUAACACCGUUCUGCUUUACUGUAACUCCGUACUGCUUUACUGUAACACCGUGCUGCUUUACUGUAACACCGUGCUGCUUUACUGUAACACCGUGCUGCUUUACUGUAACACCGUACGGCUUUACUGUAACACCGUGCUGCUUUACAUUAACAUUGUUCUGCUUUACUGUAACACCGUUCUGCUUUACUGUAACACCGUGCUGCUUUACUGUAACACCGUGCUGCUUUACUGUAACACCGUACGGCUUUACUGUAACACCGUUCUGCUUUACUGUAACUCCGUACUGCUUUACUGUAACACCGUGCUGCUUUACUGUAACACCGUACUGCUUUACUGUAACACCGUGCUGCUUUACUGUAACACCGUGCUGCUUUACUGUAACACCGUACUGCUUUACUGUAACACCGUGCUGCUUUACUGUAACACCGUCGUUUUGCUUUACUGUAACACCGUGCUGCUUUACUGUAACACCGUACUGCUUUACUGUAACACCGUGCUGCUUUACUGUAACACCGUGCUGCUUUACUGUAACACCGUUCUGCUUUACUGUAACACCGUACGGCUUUACUGUAACACCAUACUGCUUUACUGUAACACCGUGCUGCUUUACUGUAACACCGUGCUGCUUUACUGUAACACCGUACUGCUUUACUGUAACACCGUGCUGCUUUACAUUAACAUUGUUCUGCUUUACUGUAACACCGUUCUGCUUUACUGUAACACCGUGCUGCUUUACUGUAACACCGUGCUGCUUUACUGUAACACCGUUCUGCUUUACUGUAACACCGUGCUGCUUUACUGUAACACCGUACUGCUUUACUGUAAUACCGUGCUGCUUUACUGUAACACCGUUCUGCUUUACUGUAACACCGUUCUGCUUUAUUGUAACACCGUGCUGCUUUACUGUAACACCGUUCUGCUUUACAUUAACAUUGUUCUGCUUUACUGUAACACCGUACUGCUUUACUGUAACACCGUACUGCUUUACUGUAACACCGUACUGCUUUACUGUAACACCGUGCUGCUUUACUGUAACACCGUUCUGCUUUACUGUAACACCGUGCUGCUUUACUGUAACACCGUACUGCUUUACUGUAACGCCGUGCUGCUUUACUGUAACACCGUGCUGCUUUACUGUAACACCGUACUGCUUUACUGUAACGCCGUGCUGCUGUUACCAUGCCGUUGGUGAUAAUGGCUCGAGGCGAGGAAGGCAGACUGGGGAACAACCCCAUGGGGUGUCCGCUGUACAUCACCAGAGUCUGCUGCUCCGUCAUCUGGCUCAGGUACCGCAUCACAAGGCGGAACUGCACCCAUAAAACAGAUGACAUUAAACCGCGUCACAGACACAAGGAAAUGCAACUCAGGACUCACCUGGGCCCAGUUACUGAACACCUGCCCGUUCCCUCCAUACGUCACAAGCUCUUGAGGAAACUGCAGGUCGAGGACGCAUUCAGUUAAAUCUGAAAGGAUCUGAACUUCUCUACCACAAAAGGAGAGAGGUCUCACCUGAGCGACCGCCGGAUCCAGAUUGUUCAUGAUCAUCAGCAUGAUAGCAGCUGCUUGUCUGGUGCGGCAGGGAUACUGAUCUAUGGGAUACGCUCUGAGGAAACAUUCCACAUCCUUCAAAUCACAACCUGCUGCUGAGUUUUUAUUCUCUGGUAUUCGUGACAGGAAGAUAAAAUUGAGCCGUAAAAACUUGUGGUGGGAUGAAUUCAAAACGUUCAUCGUGAGAAGUUUGAAACGAGUAAUAUAUACUGUCGAUGAAAAAGGUAUUUGAUCCCUUGUUGGUUUGGUAAAUGUGCUCAAAUACAAAGAAACUGACAGUCUAUCAUUCCAAAGGUUCAUUGGAAAAUUCCACUUCAAAGAAUGAAAGUCUAGCUCCGGCAGAUGACUCCCAUUGUCUUUGGGAUGGCUGUAGCUACAGGAUCAGAAACUCAGAACUCUCGUAGGUUCACGCGAUAGGUCGUUAAUAGCCCAAACUUCACAAAAAGUGCUGCGACUCAGCUCCGGCGAAAAUUUGAAUAAAACGAAACAGAUUCAGAGCACCAGAGAGGCAAGAUCGAAUGUGAAGACUCUGGCGGUCACAUCGGAGACAUGACACUUGCUAUGGGAGCCUGGGGUCACAAAUUACUUUUGAUCAUUUAGAUUUGACUGAUGUUUAGGUGAUUAAGCUCAGCUCUCUUCAUAGGUUUUCUAAGGGAUAGUGGUCCAGUCAGACUCUGAUCUUCUUCUUCUGCAGCCAUGGUGUCUUUGCUGGAUGUUUUGGGUCGUGAUCCUAUUGGAAGACCCGUUUACGCCUCCUGGUGGAGUAAAGAUGGUUCUCACUCCGGAUUUGACAGUACAUGGCUCCGCCCAUCCUCCCAUCCUCACAGUUAAGUUGCAGAAAACACCCCCAAACCAUCAUGUUUCCAUCUCCAUGCUUGACAGUGGGGAUAGUGUUGAGUUGAUGCCAAAGGUUUGAUCUGAACACAGCACCUUGACCCAGUUAUGAAGGUGUUCAAACUUCAGGUGGGUCUGCACGUGUCCUCUUGAGCAGAUGGACUGUGUGAGAACCACAAGAACCAUUGCAGUGUAAAGUAUUCCCAAAGGUUUUCUUGUGACUGUGGUUCCAGCUGCUUCAAGAUCACUCCUGUUGUUUGAGGCCGAUUCCUCACUGAUCUGUAGUGCAGCCACAAGCGAUUAUUUUAAUAGUCGACUAAUCAUCAAUUAUUAUUUACGAUUAGUCGACUAAUCGGGUCAUGCACAAACUGGAUGUAAAGAAAAUCUUAAACAUAAUUAGCUUAAAACUAAAAAAUCCUAAAUUAGCCAAAAUAGCUAGCUAGCUUAUAGCUGAAAUAUUAGCUAAACUCCAAAUUAGCCUAAAAAACUGUAAAAUCCCAAAUUAGCUAGCAUGUAGCUGAAAUAAUAGAAAAACUCCAAAUUAGCAUAAAAAGCUGUAAAAAAUCAAAAUUAGCCAAAAUAGCUCGCUAGCAUAUAGCUGAAAUAUUAGCUAAACUCCAAAUUAGCCUAAAAAACUGUAAAAACCCAAAUUAGCUAGCAUCUAGCUGAAAUAAUAGCAAAACUCCAAAUUAGCACAAAAAGCUGUAAAAAAUCAAAAUUAGCCAAAAUAGCUAGCUAGCAUAUAGCUGAAAUAUUAGCUAAACUCCAAUUUAGCCUAAAAAACUGUAAAAAAUCCCAAAUUAGCUAGCAUCUAGCUGAAAUAAUAGCAAAACUCAAAAUUAGCACAAAAAGCUGUAAAAAAUCAAAAUUAGCCAAAAUAGCUAGCUAGC